rnacentral:rRNA from 1 species
UACGUAGGGUGCAAGCGUUAAUCGGAAUUACUGGGCGUAAAGCGUACGCAGGCGGCUAUGUAAGACAGGUGUGAAAUCCCCGGGCCUAACCUGGGAACUGCAUUUGUGACUGCAUAGCUAGAGUCCGUCAGAGGGGGGUGGAAUUCCACGUGUAGCAGUGAAAUGCGUAGAGAUGUGGAGGAACACCGAUGGCGAAGGCAGCCCCCUGGGAUGAGACUGACGCUGAGGAGCGAAAGCGUGGGGAGCAAACAGG